CCUACGGGAGUCAGCAGUGGGGGAUAUUGCACAAUGGGGGAAACCCUGAUGCAGCGACGCCGCGUGGGUGAAGAAGCGCCUCGGCGCGUAAAGCCCUGUCAACAGGGAAGAAAAUGACGGUACCUGAAGAAGAAGCCCCGGCUAACUACGUGCCAGCAGCCGCGGUAAUACGUAGGGGGCAAGCGUUAUCCGGAUUUACUGGGUGUAAAGGGGGCGCAGACGGCGAUGCAAGCCAGGAGUGAAAGCCCGGGGCCCAACCCCGGGACUGCUCUUGGAACUGCGUGGCUAGAGUGCAGGAGGGGCAGGCGGAAUUCCUGGUGUAGCGGUGAAAUGCGUAGAUAUCAGGAGGAACACCGGUGGCGAAGGCGGCCUGCUGGACUGCAACUGACGUUGAGGCCCGAAAGCGUGGGGAGCAAACAGGAUUAGAUACCCCAGUAGUC
rnacentral:rRNA from 1 species